GGAGACUCCCAAGCCCUCCAUCUCCAGCAGCAACUUAAACCCCAGGGAGGCCAUGGAGACUGUGAUCUUAACCUGUAAUCCUGAGACUCCGGACGCAAGCUACCUGUGGUGGAUGAAUGGUCAGAGCCUCCCUAUGACUCAUAGGAUGCAGCUGUCUGAAACCAACAGGACCCUCUUUCUAUUUGGUGUCACAAAGUAUACUGCAGGACCCUAUGAAUGUGAAAUAUGGAACUCAGGGAGUGCCAGCCGCAGUGACCCAGUCACCCUGAAUCUCCUCCGCACUUAUUAAUGACUGCCACAACAGAAACACUGUGAAAAAGAUGCAACCAUGAAAAGGUGGAAAGUUUUGAUGACAUAGAAAAUAGCAAUCAGCCUUUCUCACAUCCCAAAGCCUUCAAAUAUAUAUGAGUGCAGCAUGGCCAGUAUGGAAUUCACCGAAAACUAAUCACCAAGCUAGAAAUGUGGUGAGAGAAAAAAAAGGGCAAGAAUAUAUUUGGCUUAUCACUUCCCACUUUUGUCUACUAAUCUGAUGCUGAAAAGAAAUUCUCACUGAAGCAUUUUAGAUUUUGAAUCUUUCAGAUUUGGGAUGCUAAACCAGUAAGUAUAUGACAAAUAUUUCAGAAUCAAAAAAUGUCAGAAAUCCAAAACA
rnacentral:lncRNA from 1 species